rnacentral:rRNA from 1 species
UACGGGGGGAGCAAGCGUUGUUCGGAUUUACUGGGCGUAAAGGGCGCGUAGGCGGCGCAACAAGUCACUUGUGAAAUCUCCGGGCUUAACUCGGAGCGGCCAAGUGAUACUGUCGUGCUAGAGUGCGGAAGGGGCAACUGGAAUUCUCGGUGUAGCGGUGAAAUGCGUAGAUAUCGUAAGGAAGACCAGUGGCGAAGGCGGGUCUCUGGACAGUUCCUGACGCUGAGGCACGAAGGUCAGGGGAGCAAACGGG